rnacentral:sRNA from 2 species
CAUCAAACACACCCCACAUUUGCUCAACUAGCAGGAAACGAGGAUUGAAACAUCGUGUCCCCUUGUCGGAUGAGCAAUCCAAAGCACUGUCCAUCUCCGUGGGAAUCUGGCACGCAGCAGUCCUAGGAUAUCCACGGAGGAGUUAACAGCGUAAUCGCUUGUUGAAUACCCCAAAAAAAAUUCUCUCAUCACUAAAUGGCAUUCAUGCAGCUUCUCAACUAGGUAUUCAGCUCUGUAUUGCGGUCUUGGGAGUCCUAUCCGUCUACAGGAUCUCCAUCAGCAACAACAAAGAUCUUCACAUGGAAAAUACAGAAAACAUGAACGAUAAACAGGGGGAAUAAUUUUGAGAAUGUCAUUGUGCGUAAAUACGACGCAGGAAAAGAUACCAUUGAUUCUUUUAUUUUGGAUUACAGUACAGUUAUCGCUCUAUCCUUUAUGAACUAAUCAGGGAGUGCCUUGACAAAUUCCUUCUCGUUGCAGGCCUCCAAACCUCAAUACUCCAUAUCACCUGCAUUUCUUAGUAUCGAUCCGACCACAACAAGCACAGCCUUGAUAUCUGGAUGGGAGACUUCAUGCUGAGCAGCCAGCCAUACAUCGCGCAAUGUGAUGGCCUGUCUCAGCAACCGAGGCGUAGAACGACAUCGGACUUUUUCAUCCCAUAAAAACAACCGCAUGGGAUUUGAUUAAAGCGUGCCAUCAAGUGGACCCUACCCCAGAAUCAAUCCUGGAGGGCGCCUAGAUUGUUUGAAUAUGACAUACCGAGCGGGGCUACUGUUAGACAGAUACCAGG